rnacentral:tRNA from 1 species
GGCAUAGCGCAGUCUGGUAGCGCAUCUGGUUUGGGACCAGAGGGUCGAGGGUUCGAAUCCUUCUGCC